GCUCGAAAAUGUUAAAGUUCUUAUUUCAUGGUAUAACUUUGGUAUGCUUGGACCUAGAGUCUUCAAACUUGACAUGAAGGUUGGCCAGGAUUAACAGAUGACCACUGGUCAUUUCAAGGUCAUUCAUUUGAAGGUCAAGGUCACUGUGACCUUCAAUAUAAAAAAUGUUAAAGUUGUUAUAACUUUGGUAUGCUUGGACCUAGAGUCUUGAAACUUGACAUGAAGGUUGGCCAUAACUAGUUAGUAACCACUGGUCAUUUCAAGGUCAUUCAUUUGAAGGUCAAGGUCACUGUGACCUUGAAUGUAAAAAUGUUUAAGUUGUUAUAACUUUGGUAUGCUUGGACCUAGAGUCUUGAAACUUGACAUGAAGGUUGGCCAGAACUAGUAAGUAACCACUGGACAUUUCAAGGUCAUUCAUUUGAAGGUCAAGGUCACUGUGACCUUGAAUGUAAAAAUGUUAAAGUUCUUAUUUCAUGUUAUAACUUUGGUAUGCUUGUACCUAGAGUCUUCAAACUUGAAAUAAAGAUUGGCCAGUACUAGAAGAUGACCACUGGUCAUUUCAAUGUCAUUCAUUUGAAGGUCAAGGUCACUGUGACCUUAAAUGUUAAAAUGUUAAAAUUGUUAUAACUUUGGUAUGCUUGGACAUAGAGUCUUCAAACUUGACAUGAAGGUUUGCAAGCACACUUAGAUGACCACUGGUCAUUUCAAGGUCAUUCAUUCUAAGGUCAAGGUCACUGUGACCUUGAAUGUAAAAAUGUUAAAGUUCUUAUAACUUUGGUAGGUAAAAAUGUUAAAGUUCUUAUUCCAUGUUAUAACUUUGGUAUGCUUGUACCUAGAGUCUUCAAACUUGACAUAAAGGUUGGCCAGUACUAGAAGAUCACCACUGCUCAUUUCAAUGUCAUUCAUUUGAAGGUCAAGGUCACUGUGACCUUCAAUGUAAAAAUGUUAAAAUUGUUAUAACUUUGGUAUGCUUGGACCUAGAAUCUCAAACUUGACGUAAAGGUUUGCAAGCACACUUAGAUGACCACUGGUCAUUUCAAGGUCAUUCAUUUGAAGGUCGAGGUCACUGUGACCUUGGAUGUAAAUAUGUUAAAGUUGUUAAUACUUUGGUAUGCUUAGACCUAGAGUCUUCAAACUUGAUAUGAAGGUUGGCCAGAACUAGUAGAUGACCACUGGUCAUUUUAAGGUCAAGGUCACCGUGACCUUGAAUGUAAAAAUGUUAAAA